rnacentral:rRNA from 1 species
UACGUAGGGUGCGGGCGUUGUCCGGAAUUACUGGGCGUAAAGAGCUCGUAGGUGGUUUGUCGCGUUGUUCGUGAAAACCGGGGGCUUAACCCUCGGCGUGCGGGCGAUACGGGCAGACUUGAGUACUGCAGGGGAGACUGGAAUUCCUGGUGUAGCGGUGGAAUGCGCAGAUAUCAGGAGGAACACCGGUGGCGAAGGCGGAUCUCUGGGCCAUUACUGACGCUGAGGAGCGAAAGCGUGGGGAGCGAACAGG